rnacentral:rRNA from 1 species
CCAGGCUGCCCAGAGACAAAGUUUAACGGCCGCGGUACCCUAACCGUGCGAAGGUAGCAUAAUCACUUGUUCUUUAAAUAGGGACUCGUAUCAACGGCAUCACGAGGGCUAUACUGUCUCCUUUCUCCAAUCAGUGAAACUGAUCUUCCCGUGAAGAAGCGGGAAUUAUUGUAUAAGACGAGAAGACCCCAUGGAGCUUUAAACUCAAUAUAUACCUCUACGCAUUUAUAUCACUAUAGCCUAAGAAAAUUAUAUAUUAGUUUUGGGUUGGGGGGACCGCGGAGAAAAAAUUAACCUCCACGACAAAUAGGCCAACGCCUUUAUCUAUGAACCACAAUUCUAAGAAUCAAUAAACUGAUGUUUAAUGAUCCAAUUUUUUGAUCAACGAACCAAGUUACCCUGGGGAUAACAGCGCAAUCUACUUCAAGAGCUCCUAUCGACAAGUGGGUUUACGACCUCGAUGUUGGAUCAGGGUAUCCUAGUGGUGCAGCCGCUACUAAAGGUUCGUUUGUUCAACGAUUAAAACCCUACGUGAUCU